GCAUGAAACACAAAGGCCAAAUCCAAGAAGAAAGUACAAGCUCCUAGAUUUUACGAAGUGAAGGAUAAACGGCAAAAGAAGGGUUUUCUAAAAACCCCUCAAAAACAGAGAGGAAAAACCAACAGAGGGGUUAGGGUUUAGUACCACUGGCGGAGAGUUUAUUACUCCGGUUGAUGGAAGCGAAGACGUGAUUCUUUCAUCAAGCAGCACACCCAGGAGAAGCGGCGUUGGAGGUGGAUGCGACACAAAAAUCCAAGAAAGAAAUCCCUACUGAUGAAGAGGAAGCUGGCAAAAGUUAUUCGGGCUCUGGGAGCCCGACUUCUUGAGGAGGAAGAGCUGAAUGAGAAUAAGGGAGCUGAUGAUGCUGAUGUUCAGAAACAUCAGAUGCUAAGAAAACUUCAAAAAAAAAGAAAGGUCUCAUGAGUGAAGUUCUCAAAGAUGAGAGGUUUACAGCUAUGUUUGAAAAUAAGGGAAUUAAAACAACUGCUGAACUGAGGAGGGAACAAAAUCUAACAGUGCCUGUCAAACUUCACACAGUGAGAACGUGUUAUAGCUCUUUUUCAUUCCUAGUCCAACCUUAAGAAAGAAAAAG